CACCUGUACCCAUGCUGAACACAGAAGUUAAGCCUCUUAACGCCGAUGGUACUACGAUGGAAACGUCGUGGGAGAGUAGGUAGUCGCCAAAC
rnacentral:rRNA from 1 species